UACGUAGGGGGCAAGCGUUGUCCGGAAUCAUUGGGCGUAAAGCGCGUGUAGGCGGCUCGAUAAGUCUGCUGUGAAAGUCCAAGGCUCAACCUUGGGAUGCCGGUGGAUACUGUCGAGCUCGAGUCCGGAAGAGGAGUGUGGAAUUCCUGGUGUAGCGGUGAAAUGCGCAGAUAUCAGGAGGAACACCGGUGGCGAAGGCGGCUUUCUGGGCACUUACUGACACUGAGACGCGAAAGCGUGGGGAGCAAACAGG
rnacentral:rRNA from 1 species